rnacentral:rRNA from 1 species
UACGUAGGGUGCAAGCGUUGUCCGGAAUUAUUGGGCGUAAAGAGCUUGUAGGCGGUUUGUCGCGUCUGCUGUGAAAUUUCGGGGCUCAACCCCGAACUUGCAGUGGGUACGGGCAGACUAGAGUGUGGUAGGGGAGACUGGAAUUCCUGGUGUAGCGGUGAAAUGCGCAGAUAUCAGGAGGAACACCGAUGGCGAAGGCAGGUCUCUGGGCCGCUACUGACGCUGAGAAGCGAAAGCAUGGGGAGCGAACAGG